rnacentral:rRNA from 1 species
UACGGGGGAUGCAAGCGUUAUCCGGAAUCAUUGGGCGUAAAGCGCCUGUAGGUUGUUUAAUAAGUCUGUUGUUAAAGACUAGGGCUUAACCCUAGAAAAGCAAUGGAAACUACUAGACUAGAGUAUGGCAGGGGUAGAGGGAAUUUCUAGUGUAGCGGUGAAAUGCGUAGAUAUUAGAAAGAACACCAGCGGCGAAAGCGCUCUACUGGACCAUUACUGACACUCAGAGGCGAAAGCUAGGGUAGCAAAAGGGAUUAGAUACCCCUGUAGUCCUAGCCGUAAACGAUGGAUACUAGAUGUUGUGCUUCCGUACAGUAUCGUAGCUAACGCGUUAAGUAUCCCGCCUGGGGAGUACGCUCGCAAGGGUG